GACGAACGCUGGCGGCGUGCUUAACACAUGCAAGUCGAACGGAAAGGCCCUGCUUUUGUGGGGUGCUCGAGUGGCGAACGGGUGAGUAACACGUGAGUAACCUGCCCUUGACUUUGGGAUAACUUCAGGAAACUGGGGCUAAUACCGGAUAGGAGCUCCUGCUGCAUGGUGGGGGUUGGAAAGUUUCGGCGGUUGGGGAUGGACUCGCGGCUUAUCAGCUUGUUGGUGGGGUAGUGGCUUACCAAGGCUUUGACGGGUAGCCGGCCUGAGAGGGUGACCGGCCACAUGGGGACUGAGAUACGGCCCAGAAUCCUACGGGAGGCAGCAGUGGAGAAUAUUGCACAAUGGGCGGAAGCCUGAUGCAGCAACGCCGCGUGCGGGAUGACGGCCUUCGGGUUGUAAACCGCUGUCGCCUGUGACGAAGCGUGAGUGACGGUAAUGGGUAAAGAAGCACCGGCUAACUACGUG
rnacentral:rRNA from 1 species